rnacentral:rRNA from 1 species
AUACGGAGGGUGCAAGCGUUAAUCGGAAUUACUGGGCGUAAAGCGUACGUAGGCGGUCCGUUAAGUUAGAUGUGAAAGCCCCGGGCUUAACCUGGGAACUGCAUUUAAAACUGGCGAACUAGAGUUGAGUAGAGGGAAGUGGAAUUUCAGGUGUAGCGGUGAAAUGCGUAGAGAUCUGAAGGAACACCAGUGGCGAAGGCGACUUCCUGGACUCAAACUGACGCUGAGGUACGAAAGCGUGGGUAGCAAACGGGAUUAGAUACCCUAGUAGUCC